rnacentral:rRNA from 1 species
UACGGGGGGUGUAAGCGUUGUUCGGAAUUACUGGGCGUAAAGGGCGUGCAGGCGGUCGCCGUAAGCUGAAUGUGAAAUCCCCGGGCUUAACCCGGGACGUGCGUUCAGGACUGCGGGACUCGAAUACGGGAGAGGGUCGUGGAAUUCCUGGUGUAGAGGUGAAAUUCGUAGAGAUCAGGAGGAACACUCGUGGCGAAGGCGACGACCUGGACCGAUAUUGACGCUGAGACGCGAAAGCGUGGGUAGCAAA